AAUGAAACACCGGUUCUUCUACGAUCACUGAAGUUAAGCAACGUCGAGACUGGUCAGUACCUAGAUGGGUGACUGCUUGGGAAUACCAGGUAC